rnacentral:lncRNA from 1 species
AAGACUCGUGAUUAUAUUACAUGACCCAUGUGAUCAGGAAGGGUGAGAGAGAAUAUUUGAAGAGCAACUAGUGAGGUAGAACAGAAAAAUCCUGAAAAAUAUAAUCUGACAUUAAGUAAAAAAAGACCCUGAAGUUGUACUUACUUCCAAGAAGAUUUUUUGACAGCAGUAUAGAAGUGGUCUGCUAUUUCAUUCUUAUGGGAUUUCUUUUUCUGUUUUCUAGUCUAGCCUACAGCUCUGGAAUCUCCUGGGUUUUGUUCAUCCAAGUGUUAACUAGUUCUGAUCUUAUUUAGCCAGGGUCAGCUUAGUGCUGAAAAGGUUACUGUAUUUCCUGGCAUGUAAGACUAAUUUUGUUCAUAGAUUCUCCUAUGUCCUAUUUUUUUACAUUUAUUAUGUAAAAAAUAUAUGGUGGGAAAUACAGUACUUCGCUCCUUGGGUAGAUUUUUAAAAACUUUUUAUCUUUUUUUCCCUUUUUUUAAAAUUGAAUUCCCACUACCACAAAUNAUGCAGUCGAGUUUCCCACAUUUGGGGAAAUCACAGGGGUCAGCACAGCCAGAGUGCAACGGCCGAGCCCCACCCUGGGAGAACCUCCUUCAUGACCAAGGUUUCUCCCCUGCCAGCAGAACUUCUCCUCAACUUCCAUACUCUCAUAGAAGUGCUACACAGGCUGGCCAUUAAUUAAUGAAUCAUCUGCCUUUUACUGAGAAAGUAUUAUAUUCUAGUGGCUUUAUAUUUUAAUUUAAUGUGAUUUAUGGUUUCAUUGUUGUAACCUGUCCUCAGAUUAUUUAUUUCAUAGAAACUGAAAUAUAUAAAUUAAACAUUGUAUGGUGCUGGAAUUUUUUGACUAUAAGAGGACCAGUAUUAAACCCAAGUUUAAUAUUGGCUUGGAAGACCCUGUGAAAAAAGGAAUGCAACACAGCCCACUUAGUUAAUCACUUUCUUCCUCUGUUGAGUGAGAAGUAGGAAUAAAAUGCGUGUUUGUACCA